UAACCUAAACCUAGACUACAAAUAUCGGGACCUAGACUAACGCCUAAGGGGAGAGCAGCUGAAGAAGGCAGCGCCGUUUUCAGAAAAUGAAGAACCCAUCCCAAACGAUCUCCUUGAUCUGGUGAAUGAAGAAAAAGAAUACAAGCAAAAGGAACUCUUGGGACCUAAAAUCAGCGGCAACAUACAUGAAAGAUAGAUAGAAAAACUAAAAAAUAAGAGGACCAUCAUUUUCGAUCUUCUUUGGUCCCCAAAUCAGAAAAAAACGGAACAAAAAAACAAGCCUAAGAGACCUAGAAAAGAGCUGGAAAUCAGUCGUCUUCACUAAAGGAAACCACCCCUGUUCUCCAACAUCUUCAGCAGUCCCUCCCCGUCGCAGUCACGGUAGCCUGCUCCCCUUCACCCAUCGCUGUUUCUGCUUCUUUUCGUUCAUAGAAGCUCACCGGAAAACGAGCUGAAACGACCACCAAAGUCAACCUAGACAGCCUGCUUCUGCCCCGUUCUAACACAGUUGACGUUCUGUCCGUUUUCGAGUUUGCCGGCGAGUUUCGAUACUCCGUCUGAGGGCUGGUUCAUGGUCUUGUCCGUUUCUGCUUGUUCAAGUUGUUAAAAGUCAAGUUUUUUGGAUGAGGAAAGGUUGAAGUUUAAAGAGACAUGAAAACUUGAACUUUGGCUUGACUAGUGAAAAUUGCAUACAUGGAAAGAGGAAAAGAAAAUGGAGGAGAAAAAGAGAAAGGGGAAGCAAACAACUCAUCGUAAUAGACUUCUUUAGGACCAGAGAAAUUUGUUUUGGGAGGAUUUGUCUGCCCUUCUGAUGAGGAACCAGCAGAGAAAGAAGCUGAUUCAGGAACAUGGUGUGAAAGAGUCUGGAUUCAGAUUUUUCAUCUUGAAGUAGGAGAGAACAAGUUUGACCGAUGUUAGGUGUAGGUUUCAUCAUAGUUAUGUUUCUUAUGGUACCACUAUAAGAGUCAUUAAGGCCAAUUAAGAACUGAUUAAGUUUCAGAGUUUCCUUGUCCUUAAUCAUUUUUACCUUUCCAUCAUAUUGACAAUCACAGCUGCAAUAAGAAUUAUUGUUAAGAGAGUCUAACUCAUCCCACAACUUAAUAAGUUCAAUAUCACAGGAUCCCUCAGAUAGCAUACUGAGUUCCUUUUUGAACUGGAUAAGUUCAUGCCCUCAUUUGACUAACCAUAUCGUUAGUUAAGUUCAUUUCAGAUCUGAUAAGCAUAUUUGGAAUAGAUGAAACUGUUAGCUACGUCUGGGGUCAAAGAGUGAAGGUCAAUCACAAUUGUGGUGCAUGUGUUGCAAUCGAGGUUCGUGUUAUUCUAAUCUAGGCUCGACUAACCUCUUGCAAUUCACAUUAUCUUUUUGUACUUGAAACACUGCUCCAGAGAAUCAUGCUUGGCCGCAUCGCGGCCAAUGCCCUGUGAUCGCGAUUAAGCUUGCUGUCACCAGACCUGGCAAGCAAACAACGUUAAGGCAACAAUUAACACAUUGCUUCAGCUGUUCACACCAUCCCAACUACCUUCCAUUCAUUCCCAAGUUUCCGUUCUACAUCUCGACACCUUCAACACAGUUUUUAACCAGUCCAAACCAACAGUUUAGCAAAUCAUAAGCAUCAAUUUCAUGUAAGAUAAAGAUAAAAGAAGUAAAGGGGGAUUUACGUUGCCACUUUUCCUUAUUCCCUUUUAUCUUGCUUUUUGCUCUCUUAGAUUACAAUUUAUAAAAUCUAAUGUCACACCUCCUUUUUCCGUCCCCGCAAGGGGUGAAGGAGUUUUUUCAAUUAAAGGACAAUCGAAACGGGA